GACUUCUCCAGCCUGCUGGCAAAUGCUGGCGCUGUGCAGCGCCCUGCCAGAGGAAACCGACCCUGCAGAGGGGUUGCCAGUACUGCCGAGGAGAUGGGACUCUAGGACUACGGAUCCCCCUGCCGAGACUGUGGUACGUGGAAGGAAGAUCUGUUGACCUAUCUGUUGGGUUUCUGUUGCACCCACCACUGCAGCAUCUAAGCAUUUUCUAGGACCUCUACCUCAUUCAGUGGACAGAAUGGACUGUGUUCAGGUUUUGUGCUGUGUUCUGAAGGACCCCCUUCCUCAUUCACUGUAAAAUGAAAGGGUGGCUGUGACAAUACAUAAAUUAAUGUGUGUAAUACACUCAGAUACUACAUAUCAAAACCCACCAGCCUUGCGUUGUCCCUGACUGCUGCUACACUCAUACUGUAUGUGUCUGAAGCUCUUUUCUCCCCACCCGCCUGCAGUAUCAGUGCUUCCAAAAUUGCAGUAAGAAAUGUGAGAAGGCACUUUAUGGAGCAGUUACAGAGAACCCAGGCUGAGUGCUAAUGAUCUUGAUAGUGACAAAUGAAUAUAGAAGUUCUCAAGCAAGAAGGUGUUGAAAGAGACCAAAUAGCACGAGUGUGAGAGAGUCUUUCAACAGUAAGUGAAGCUACAAGCAUAAAAAGAUGGAACCAUCAUUACUUUAUUGGCUUUUAGGGUGAAAAUCACACCCAUGCAGAGAGUCAGUACAAGGCCUAUGUGCCACUAAAAUCCUACAUAAGUAUUAUUCUGAGGUCUUACGUGGACAUGAGGCUCAGCUAUGCCCUACUCUGUAGGGAUAAAAUGAGCAUGGAUCUGUCUCAGGUGCGUACUUUAAAUACCAUAACAAAACUAAGGCUUUGCCCAACUGCUUUCUUUGGAAAUUCAAACUUCCGGACAUUAAACCCAAAUUCAGGUACAGGAGGAGAGGGUAAUGGCCUAUGAAGAUUCCACUGAGGGUCUUUACCAGAACAUUGGAACAACAGAUGUAAUUGUCUCGUCCCCCACCCUGAAAACUUAAUUCUAUCUUAUACUUUGGGCCCACUGCAUGAUGGGAUAGACCUUGAGGAGUUUAGCUAGUUCUGUGUUGCUGUCCAUGCUGUCUGUGAGGCCUGAUCUAGAGCCCAUUAAGGUCAAUAAAAGUCCUCUUAUAAACUUCAGCAGGCUUUGGAUCAGGUCAUAAACGUUCAGGAAAGCUGAUAGUUACUUUAGUUUAGGGUUAACUAAUAAGUGCUAAACAUUAACAAAUCAACUUAUCCCCCAGCCUCCCAAUGCUCAGUGGCAGAGCUAAUGGUGCCUUUUAGGUCUCUGUGUCACUUUUUGAAGAGUAUUAUGUAAUUGGCAAAAGGAACGUAUGACACAGAUUUUCCCACAGGAUGGAGAAUCAGCUCACCCUGCACUCACCCGGCAAUGGAGGCUCCUGUCCUGGAGGACUAGUCCUGGCUCCCUGCUCUGUGUGUUGCAACAUGGUACACAGGGUCCAGUGGUGCUGCAACCCACUGUGCCAUGUUGCAAUGCCAUUAACUCAGAUGUGGCCCAAGCUUGCUUCUGCCCAGCCUCAUCUCUGCACCAGGCUGGGAUUAGGGCUGCAGUGCUGGGGUGGAGGGUUCUGCUGCGAGUGGUUGAUGCCCCCUCAUCAGGGUGAGGAGGAGGAGGAGAAGGUGAUGGCGGCAGAGGAGUGCACCCAUUGAAUAGGGAGGCUACAUCUGCCAUUGAAUCCACUUGAUUACACUGUGUUUAAAACUUUAACUGCAUGCAUACAAGUCUGUUCACUUUACUUGUAAAUAGCUAGCUACAUUUGCCCUUUCUGUGAGAGUUGUAGUCUUAGGCUGUCACCGCUGAGAAAGCAAAACUGGAUAGUGGCAAUGCAGCAUCCAGAGAGUGACAACCCGGUACAUGCUUUUUGCAGGCAAAGUGGUUCUUGUGGGGGAGAACAAAGAGGAUAUCAUAGAAGAUUUAGAGAGAUGGGGUUGUGUACUUGAAAGAAAGGGCAUGAAAAUCAGUGGAAAUAAAACAGAGUAUAUGAUCUGUAGAUUCAAUGAUACUCUGCAGGAAGACAAAGAAACUGUAACUCUGGGGAGCCAGCCAUUACCAAAGAGACAGAAAUUCAAGUACAAUAAUACAGGAUAACGGUGAACUCAGCUACGAACUUAUAAGCCGCAUAGGCAAGACAUGGACUAAAUGGAGAGAAGGGAGACGAAUGAUCUACCAUAGAAUAAUACCUAUCAAAUUGAAAAGUAAGAUCCACAAGAUGGUAAGUAGGCCUUCACUUUUGUAUGGCUCUGAAUGCUGGGCACUGAGGAAGAACCAGGUGCAGAUCUUGAAUACAGGGGAAUGUUAAGAUGGAUGCUUGGGGUUACAAGGAUGGACCAUGUUCAGAAUGAAUGAAUUAGGGGAAGUGUGAAGGUGGCACCAAUUAUAGAAAAGCUGAGGGAAUUAGCUGGUUCUGAAAAGAAGAUCAGAACAAUAUAUAAGAAAUAGUAUGUUAAACUCAAAAGCGGAGGGUAAGAGAAGGGUUGGAAGACUAGAUGGAUGUCAGACAAAAGGAUUUGAUUAGCUGUGGAGUUUCCAAGGAAAUCUUCAGGGCAGACUGGAAUGGAGAAGAGGGACUCAAAAAGCCAACCCUGUAUAGAGGGGACCAAGGAUAGAAGAAGAAGAACCUAUGCAACUCUUGUUGGUUUGGAAAAUGAAACAAAAUGGUUAAUUAAUUUCUGUACUGGGGUCCCGGGAGAUUCUUCUGAAGAGGGAGGAUGUGUUUUUUUUUUUAAAAGCAAAG